rnacentral:rRNA from 1 species
UACGUAGGGUGCGAGCGUUAAUCGGAAUUACUGGGCGUAAAGCGUGCGCAGGCGGUUUGUAAGUCUGUCGUGAAAGCCCCGGGCUCAACCUGGGAAUUGCGAUGGAGACUGCAAGGCUUGAAUCUGGCAGAGGGGGGUAGAAUUCCACGUGUAGCAGUGAAAUGCGUAGAGAUGUGGAGGAACACCGAUGGCGAAGGCAGCCCCUGGGUCAAGAUUGACGCUCAUGCACGAAAGCGUGGGGAGCGAACAGG